ensembl:snRNA Gm25106 predicted gene, 25106
AAUGUUUCUCAGCCUUUUGCUAAGAUCAAGUGUAGUAUCUGUUCUUAUCAGUUUAAUAUCUGAUACGUCCUCUAUCCGAAGAGAAUAUAUUAAAUGGACUUUUGGAGAGGAGGGGGGAGAGGAAGGGAGAGGGA